rnacentral:rRNA from 1 species
CCAGACUCCUACGGGAGGCAGCAGUGGGGAAUAUUGCACAAUGGGCGAAAGCCUGAUGCAGCAACGCCGCGUGAAGGAAGACGGUUUUCGGAUUGUAAACUUCCGUUCUUAGUGAAGAAUAAUGACGGUAACUAAGGAGCAAGCCACGGCUAACUACGUGCCAGCAGCCGCGGUAAUACGUAGGGGGCAAGCGUUAUCCGGAAUUAUUGGGCGUAAAGAGUACGUAGGUGGCAACCUAAGCGCAGGGUUUAAGGCAAUGGCUCAACCAUUGUUCGCCCUGCGAACUGGGAUGCUUGAGUGCAGGAGAGGAAAGCGGAAUUCCUAGUGUAGCGGUGAAAUGCGUAGAUAUUAGGAGGAACACCAGUGGCGAAGGCGGCUUUCUGGACUGUAACUGACACUGAGGUACGAAAGCGUGGGGAGCAAACAGGAUUAGAUACCCUAGUA